ensembl:lncRNA
CUUGAGAAAAGAAGAUUCAGAGUGGAUCUGACUAAUGUUUAUAAGUCUCUUAAGUGUGGGAGUCAAAGAGACAUGGCCAACCUCUUUUCAGCAGUCUCUGGGGACAGAACAAGGAGAAACAGCCAUAAACUGGAGCACAGGAAAUUCUACACCAAUAAGCAAAAUAACUUCUUCACAGUGAGGAUGACAGAGCACGGGAACAGGCUGCCCUGGGAUGUUGUGGAUUUUCCUUUUCUGGAGAUAUUCAAGACCUGCCUGGACAGCUACCUGUGUAACCUGCUGUAGGGGGUCUGCUUUGCAGCUCCAGCAUGGUGUCAUUCUCAACAGAUGCGGUUCUUUCCAAGCUGAUCCUACGUGAGUUUCCCACAGGCUGCAUUUCUUCAAGAACUGCUUCCAGAAGCGUCUGUACCAGGGCGUCCAUCCCUCACAAGCAG